rnacentral:rRNA from 1 species
UAUGUGAUCGUCUCUCGCAUAUCAAUAAGCGGAGGAAAAGAAACUAACAAGGAUUCCCCUAGUAACGGCGAGUGAAGCGGGAAGAGCUCAAAUUUGAAAUCUUAAAGGGUUUCCCUUUACGAAUUGUAGUUUAAAGAAGUGUUUUCUGUUGAGGUUUUGGUAAAAGUUCUUUGGAAUAGGAACAUCAUAGAGGGUGAGAAUCCCGUAUUUGACCUUUACUUUCAACUUUGUGAUACACUUUCAAAGAGUCGGAUUGUUUGGGAAUGCAGUCCAAAACUGGGUGGUAAAUUUCAUCUAAAGCUAAAUAUUGGCGAGAGACCGAUAGCGAACAAGUACCGUGAGGGAAAGAUGAAAAGAACUUUGAAAAGAGAGUUAAACAGUACGUGAAAUUGUCAAAAGGGAAGCGUUUGACACCAGUGUUGUUUUUCUGAAAAUCAAUUAAAGAACUGUUUAUGCUAAGCUGUUUAGACUUUAUCAGCUAUCUGUUUAGUUUUAGGCUUUUCUUUAAUGCACUUUUCAGUUAACAAGUCAACAUCAAUUUCUUUUGCUGUAAAAAAGCUUGAGGAAGGUGGCUUGAGAUUCGUCUUAAGUGUUUAUAGCCUCUUGCCUAUGCAGUCGGAGAGAUUGAGGUCUGCAGCGUAGAUCCUUCGGGGCUAAAUGCAUUUGUGCUAAGUUAUAGCAUUUUAUAGACAACUUGUUGACUAUGAUUUGUCUUGUAGCUUACUCGCUUAUGUUAUUUUACCUACGCUUAGGAUGUUGAUCUACAGAGCGAGAGU